UACGUAGGGGGCUAGCGUUGUCCGGAAUCAUUGGGCGUAAAGAGCUCGUAGGCGGCUUGUCACGUCGGGUGUGAAAGCCCGGGGCUUAACCCCGGGUCUGCAUUCGAUACGGGCUAGCUAGAGUGUGGUAGGGGAGAUCGGAAUUCCUGGUGUAGCGGUGAAAUGCGCAGAUAUCAGGAGGAACACCGGUGGCGAAGGCGGAUCUCUGGGCCAUUACUGACGCUGAGGAGCGAAAGCGUGGGGAGCGAACAGG
rnacentral:rRNA from 1 species